rnacentral:rRNA from 1 species
CCUACGGGGGGCAGCAGUGAGGAAUAUUGGUCAAUGGACGAGAGUCUGAACCAGCCAAGUAGCGUGAAGGAUGACUGCCCUAUGGGUUGUAAACUUCUUUUAUAUGGGAAUAAAAUGUUCCACGUGUGGGAUUUUGUAUGUACCAUAUGAAUAAGGAUCGGCUAACUCCGUGCCAGCAGCCGCGGUAAUACGGAGGAUCCGAGCGUUAUCCGGAUUUAUUGGGUUUAAAGGGAGCGUAGGUGGAUUGUUAAGUCAGUUGUGAAAGUUUGCGGCUCAACCGUAAAAUUGCAGUUGAAACUGGCAGUCUUGAGUACAGUAGAGGUGGGCGGAAUUCGUGGUGUAGCGGUGAAAUGCUUAGAUCUCACGAAGAACUCCGAUUGCGAAGGCAGUUCACUGGACUGCAACUGACACUGAGGCUCGAAAGUGUGGGUAUCAAACAGGAUUAGAUACCCCUGUAGUC